UACGGGGGGGGGUAAGCGUUGUUCGGAAUUACUGGGCGUAAAGGGCUCGUAGGCGGCCUGCUAAGUCGAACGUGAAAUCCCCGGGCUCAACCCGGGAACUGCGUCCGAUACUGGCAGGCUUGAAUCCGGGAGAGGGAUGCGGAAUUCCAGGUGUAGCGGGUGAAAAUGCGUAGAUAUCUGGAAAGAACACCGGUGGCGAAGGCGGCCAACUGGACCCACAACUGACGCUGAGGCGCGAAAGCGUGGGGGAGCAAACAGG
rnacentral:rRNA from 1 species